rnacentral:rRNA from 1 species
CCUACGGGAGGCAGCAGUGAGGAAUAUUGGUCAAUGGACGAGAGUCUGAACCAGCCAAGUAGCGUGAAGGAUGACUGCCCUAUGGGUUGUAAACUUCUUUUAUAUGGGAAUAAAAUGUUCCACGUGUGGGAUUUUGUAUGUACCAUAUGAAUAAGGAUCGGCUAACUCCGUGCCAGCAGCCGCGGUAAUACGGAGGAUCCGAGUGUUAUCCGGAUUUAUUGGGUUUAAAGGGAGCGUAGGUGGAUUGUUAAGUCAGUUGUGAAAGUUUGCGGCUCAACCGUAAAAUUGCAGUUGAAACUGGCAGUCUUGAGUACAGUAGAGGUGGGCGGAAGUCGUGGUGUAGCGGUGAAAUGCUUAGAUAUCACGAAGAACUCCGAUUGCGAAGGCAGUUCACUGGACUGCAACUGACACUGAGGCUCGAAAGUGUGGGUAUCAAACAGGAUUAGAUACCCGGGUAGUC